rnacentral:rRNA from 1 species
AGUGAACGCUGGCGGUAGGCCUAACACAUGCAAGUCGAACGGCAGCACAGUAAGAGCUUGCUCUUACGGGUGGCGAGUGGCGGACGGGUGAGGAAUACAUCGGAAUCUACUUUUUCGUGGGGGAUAACGUAGGGAAACUUACGCUAAUACCGCAUACGACCUACGGGUGAAAGCAGGGGAGCUUCGGACCUUGCGCGAUUGAAAGAGCCGAUGUCGGAUUAGCUAGUUGGCGGGGUAAAGGCCCACCAAGGCGACGAUCCGUAGCUGGUCUGAGAGGAUGAUCAGCCACACUGGAACUGAGACACGGUCCAGACUCCUACGGGAGGCAGCAGUGGGGAAUAUUGGACAAUGGGCGCAAGCCUGAUCCAGCCAUACCGCGUGGGUGAAGAAGGCCUUCGGGUUGUAAAGCCCUUUUGUUGGGAAAGAAAAGCAGCAGGUUAAUACCCCGCUGUUCUGACGGUACCCAAAGAAUAAGCACCGGCUAACUUCGUG